AUUUGUGCAGUUCUUGUCAGUUGGUCUUUGCACUGCUGGUCCAGGAUAGCAUCCUGAUUUUCUGAACAUGUCAUCUGGCAAUGCUGAGCUACAGAAAUAGCAUCUUCUGGGCUCCUUGGACAUAGUAGUGCAAACUACAGAGAACCCAUAAAAUUAUUUGGUGGUAUGCCAAAUAUAAUCACAAUUCAGAACCAUCACAACAUCUGGGAUCCAGAGAUGUCUUGAUUCUCCAUAGUUUUGAUCACUCAUUCGAG